UACGGGGGGGAGCAAGCGUUGUUCGGAUUUACUGGGCGUAAAGCGUGCGCAGGCGGUUUUGUAAGUUUUGUCGUGAAAUCCCCCGGGCUCAACCUGGGGAAUUGCGAUGAAGACUGCAAGGCUAGAAUCUGGCAGAGGGGGGUAGAAUUCCACGUGUGAGCAGUGAAAUGCGUAGAGAUGUGGAGGAACACCGAUGGCGAAGGCAGCCCCCUGGGUCAAGAUUGGACGCUCAUGCACGAAAGCGUGGGGAGCAAACAGG
rnacentral:rRNA from 1 species